CGCUUCUUUCGCCCAGGCGGAGCUCGACCGCCCCUUUCGGAAAUGACGGCAUCCGUUGAUGAGCACCUCGCGGCAUAUGGGGUCGAGCUGAUUUGCAAAAUGCUGCAGAUUGCCCCG
rfam:Asaia platycodi SF2.1, WGS project CBLX01000000 data, contig: 67